GGGGGUAUAGCUCAACUGGUAGAGCGUCUGCCUUACAAGCAGAAUGUCAAUGGUUCGAAUCCAUUUAUCCUCA
rnacentral:tRNA from 3 species